rnacentral:lncRNA from 1 species
CAAGAUGCUCGGGCGGCAGCGGCGACGCAUAGAGGCGGCGGCGCGUAGAGACAGCAGCGGCCGGCGGGGCAGUCGCCAGAGCUCAGGGGGCGAUGCCGGAGAGGGCUGGAUUGCCAAGGUCUCGAGCCGCGAUGGGGGAAUAAAGGACAAUGUGAAGGAGAGGGAAGGUGGCUACGGUUGCGGCUGCGGCUGCAGCAGCUACUGGCCGGCCGGGGCUCGAUCGGCUGCGGCCGGCAGGUGCGCGGUGGGGCAGGGAAGAUGUACGAAGGAGGCUGGGGGGGUGCGGCAAGGCUAGGGCUAGGGUUAGCUAGAAGAAA